GACGAACGCUGGCGGCGUUCUUAACACAUGCAAGUCGAACGGAGUGGCGAACGGGUGAGUAACACGUGGGUGAUCUGCCUUGCACUUCGGGAUAAGCUUGGGAAACUGUGUCUAAUACCGAAUAUUGCAAGAUGAGCUCUCGGCCUAUCAGCUUGUUGGUGGGGUAAUGUCCUACCAAGGCGUCGACGGGUAGCCGGCCUGAGGGGGUGUACGGCAACAUUGGGACUGGGAUACGGCCCAGACUCCUACGGGAGGCAGCGGUGGGGAAGAUUGCACGAUGGGAGGAAGCCUGAUGCAGCGACGCCGCGUGGGGGAGGAAGGCAUUCGGGUUGUAAACUCCUUUCGACAGGGACGCGGUACCUGUAUAAGAAGCACCGGCUAACUACGUGCCAGCCGCCGCGGUAAUUC
rnacentral:rRNA from 1 species